CUAAGGCCGAUGGCGACCGGCGCACGGGUGAGUAACACGUAUCCAACCUGCCGUCUACUCUUGGACAGCCUUCUGAAAGGAAGAUUAAUACAAGAUGGCAUCAUGAGUCCGCAUGUUCACAUGAUUAAAGGUAUUCCGGUAGACGAUGGGGAUGCGUUCCAUUAGAUAGUAGGCGGGGUAACGGCCCACCUAGUCUUCGAUGGAUAGGGGUUCUGAGAGGAAGGUCCCCCACAUUGGAACUGAGACACGGUCCAAACUCCUACGGGAGGCAGCAGUGAGGAAUAUUGGUCAAUGGGCGAGAGCCUGAACCAGCCAAGUAGCGUGAAGGAUGACUGCCCUAUGGGUUGUAAACUUCUUUUAUAAAGGAAUAAAGUCGGGUAUGGAUACCCGUUUGCAUGUACUUUAUGAAUAAGGAUCGGCUAACUCCGUGCCAGCAGCCGCGGUAAUACGGAGGAUCCGAGCGUUAUCCGGAUUUAUUGGGUUUAAAGGGAGCGUAGAUGGAUGUUUAAGUCAGUUGUGAAAGUUUGCGGCUCAACCGUAAAAUUGCAGUUGAUACUGGAUAUCUUGAGUGCAGUUGAGGCAGGCGGAAUUCGUGGUGUAGCGGUGAAAUGCUUAGAUAUCACGAAGAACUCCGAUUGCGAAGGCAG
rnacentral:rRNA from 1 species